rnacentral:rRNA from 1 species
GUUGAACGCUGACAGAAUGCUUAACACAUGCAAGUCAAAUGUGGCGGACGGGUGAGUAACGCGUAAAGAACUUGCUACACAGUUAGGGACAACAUUUGGAAACGAAUGCUAAUACCUGAUACUGUGAGAGAGCUUUGCGUCCCAUUAGCUAGUUGGAGAGGUAACGGCUCACCAAGGCGAUGAUGGGUAGCCGGCCUGAGAGGGUGAUCGGCCACAAGGGGACUGGGACACGACCCUUAGUGCUACGGGAAGCAGCAGUGGAAAAUAUUUGACAAUAGACCAAAGUCUGAUGAAGCAAUUAUGUGUGCACGAUGAAUUUUUCGGAAUGUAAAGUGCUUUCAGUUGGGAAGCGGUACCCACAGAAGAAGUGACGGCUAAAUACGUGCCAGCCGCCGCGGUAAUAC